GCCGGGGGUGGUGGCGCGCGCCUGUAAUCCCAGCUACUUAGGAGGCUAAGGCAGGAGAAUCGCUUGAACCCAGGAGGUGGAGGUUGCAGUGAGCCAAGAUGGCGCCACUGCACUCCAGCCUGGGUGACAGAGUGAGACUCCGUCUCAA
rnacentral:SRP_RNA from 1 species